GACGAACGCUGGCGGCGUGCUUAACACAUGCAAGUCGAACGCUGAAGCACCAGCUUGCUGGUGUGGAUGAGUGGCGAACGGGUGAGUAAUACGUGAGUAACCUGCCCUUGACUCUGGGAUAAGCCCGGGAAACUGGGUCUAAUACUGGAUGCUACAUGUCACCGCAUGGUGGUGUGUGGAAAGGGUUUACUGGUCUUGGGUGGGCUCACGGCCUAUCAGCUUGUUGGUGAGGUAAUGGCUCACCAAGGCGACGACGGGUAGCCGGCCUGAGAGGGUGACCGGCCACACUGGGACUGGGACACGGCCCAGACUCCUACGGGAGGCAGCAGGGGGGAAUAUUGCACAAUGGGCGAAAGCCUGAUGCAGCGACGCCGCGUGAGGGAUGACGGGCUUCGGGUUGUAAACCUCUUUCAGCAGGGAAGAAGCCACAAGUGACGGUACCUGCAGAAGAAGCGCCGGCUAACUACGUG
rnacentral:rRNA from 1 species